GUCAGGUAGCUGUCAGCUGUGACCUUUUGCCACUUGUGUUGUCCAUUCACUCUAUUGACUACAAUACACUCAAAACCAAUUUGGCAAAUUAGUGGAAUAAAAAAGCCAUCAAGGUUAUCAAAGACAGGUGGCAGUUUUGUCAGGUGCUCAUAGAGAAUCAUGAGGAAGUACUGCCUGGUUUGCCUGCAGUUCUGCUCUGUGCCUAGAGACUGGCCCAGAUGGACAGCUGCUGGGACUGCUCCUCUGCCUGCUACUGCAGGAGGGAGGACCACUGAAUUCAAUGCAUGUUAUACGCCUUAGGGCUGUUGAAGAUCCCAAUGGAGAAAUAGCAUCUUUGAGAGAUGACACCAUGCUGCCUGGUUCUAAGGAAGUUCCAAAAAUACCUUCUUCUCUUCAGGGAAUGAAACAAAUAACCCUUACCUCAGAGCUGCCUACACUGACAUCUCCUAAUUACCUGGAAUUUAGUUUCAUUUUUUUUGGAAACUGUCCUCAUCUGAAACCUAAAACCGCGGGCCAGCCUGCCAUCUCCUUAGUGAUACGAUCUUUCUCCAAAUUUAUCCAUUCAUACAUCCCACUCCAUUGUUGUAUUCUACUUUUGUCACAUACUUAAUUUUCCAAACUAUUUUGUGUAUAACACAUUUGUCCGACAAAUCUUAUGAUUUUAGUUCUAGUAUCCAUGCAUAAUCUAUUUACUUUUUGAUUUGCUGUUUGUUGUUGUUUGGUUUUGUUUUUUAUAACUCAUUCUAAAUGUCAUGGAACACCUGUACAACAAAAUUGAAAGUCUUAUGUGGUUACUGGUUAAUUCUUCUUUAUUAAAUGGCUCUAAAUUUAAAAGGAAGAAGGGGUAAAAUUUAGCUUUUGUCAGUAUCUUUUAUUUUUUCCUCUGGAUCCCUUUUCCCAGUGGCCAACAGUAAAAUAACAGAUGCUGCAUGGAAUUCUAUUUUGACACUUUUCAAGAAGACACAGAGAGCUGAGUUUCCAGGCUUUGUAAAAUAUAGUAGCUUCCCCCCCCGCCCCGCCCCGCCCCGUCAAACUGAAGCUGAGAAUAUCAGAGGCUUUCCUUUAAAGGCAUUCAGUUUUUGAGAUUAUGUUAAGGCUGAAAAGCUCAGCCUCUGAUUAAAUUUCAAACAUAUUCAACUUAAAACUUAAUCAGACCCCCUGGAGUGCUGGCCACUUAGCAAAGAUGACUGAAUGGCGAGUUAUUCUAUUUUAUAAAGCUUGGUCUGAGACUUUCAUCCAAACCUGUAGAAGCAGUUGGUAACUUUAGCAAACAACUUGGUUACUAACUAAAGAAAUAUGACAUGUAGCAAACUUUCAAGUCUUACUGUGCUUCGAAAAGGAUGAUUACUUUCAUUACAGGGAUGAGGUUCUUGGUAAGACAGUUGCUGGACCAGCACUGUGUUCAGUGCCCAGUAACGUAACUCUUUCCUUAGAAAUACACAACGAAUUUCUAGAACAUAGUAAUUUAUGAACGCAUGAUCUGUCUAGAAUAUGUGGCAUAAUAAAAACAAGUGACAAAAUCCUGAACCUUAACA
ensembl:lncRNA